AUCCUGGCUUAGGAUGAACGCUAGCGACAGGCUAACACAUGCAAGUCGAGGGGCAGCAUAAAAGUAGCAAUACUUGGUGGCGACCGGCGCACGGGUGAGUAACGCGUAUGCAACCUACCUAUCAGAGGGGAAUAACCCGGCGAAAGUCGGACUAAUACCGCAUAAAACAGGGGCACCGCAUGGUGAUAUUUGUUAAAGAAAUUCGCUGAUAGAUGGGCAUGCGUUCCAUUAGGUAGUUGGUGAGGUAACGGCUCACCAAGCCGACGAUGGAUAGGGGAACUGAGAGGUUGGCCCCCCACACUGGUACUGAGACACGGACCAGACUCCUACGGGAGGCAGCAGUGAGGAAUAUUGGUCAAUGGGCGAGAGCCUGAACCAGCCAAGUCGCGUGAAGGAAGAAGGAUCUAUGGUUCGUAAACUUCUUUUGCAGGGGAAUAAAGUGCAGGACGUGUCCUGUUUUGUAUGUACCCUGAGAAUAAGGAUCGGCUAACUCCGUGCCAGCCGCAGC
rnacentral:rRNA from 1 species